CAGAACUUGCAGACCCACCAUCUGGCACAUGCAUCUUCAAUAGCUGAGGUAGAGGAAGGGACACUUGGAGGUCCAUGCCUGUCUCUUUUGCUCAGAAGUGACUGCACCACAUUUUCCACAACCUACUGGCACCAGUAAUUACACAGUCCCUUCAGUAUGAUAAGGGGGUGGAACAAUAUCUUCUUCCCAUGUGCGAGAAAGAAGAGAACCAGACUUGAGUGAGCACCUGCUAUCUCUACUACAGGUAAUAAAAACUAGCUGCCACUUUCUGUCAGGACAAUUCCCUGAGCUAAAUGAAUUUCACAACCCAUAUAUCCAGGCUCCAAUAUUGUGUAGACUAUCAGAAAUAAAAAUAUGUGACUAGGACAUAUUUGAAAUUUAUCUUUCCUCCUAUAAAUCAUUUAAGUCCAAAUGGUAUGUUAAAAAGAGGUGUAAUCCAAUCCUUUAUGGACUAAGGUGGGAGGAACAUCCUGCCCAGUGUACAUGUAUAACUACACAUAUACAAGGCAGUGGGUUCACAAAGACUCUAAAUCUGCAGCAAAAAGCAUUACCUUAUGCUUUUAUUGUAACAAUUGGGUCCUUCACAUUGCUGCACUCAUUGGAAAGUGGAGGCAUAUUCCUUAAAUAUCUAAUUUACCUUAUAGCUUAGCCUGAUAAAAUAUAUUUUAUCAGACCCUCUAAAAAUUUCCUUAUUUGCAAAUUUUUCCAGUGUUCUUCUGCCUAUGUCCAGUUGAAUAGAGGGAGGGAUGUGGGAUUUACUUACCUCUCAACAUUCAGGGGGAGACGUUUGGUGCCUUAGGCAGCUCUUUGGGCAUGGCGGGCCUGUAGUUUAUUGAUGUCUGUCUGAGAUUGUGUCUUGUCUUCACAGACCAUUGGGUGUCCUGUUCAUUGGCCUCUGCUCUUGGAAUCUGUAGCACCCACGGGCUUCUCUUUGGCUCCUGAUAGUGAGCCAUGCCUGACUUCGUCUCCCCCAGGCUCACUUUUAUCCCCUCUGACCUCUGGCAGGAUAGCUGCCCUGGGGGGUCCACCACACAGUCCAUACUGGUGUAACUUCACCGGCUACCCUGACCUCCUUUAUAAAACACUGUAGCCAAUUCUGGGGCUGGUGCAUACUGCCCAGGUCUGGGAAAGAUAAAUGUCAAAUCCUCCCAUUUUGUUACCGUGCUUAGGUUGCAGAUUUACUUUGAUGUGGUUAUAUUCCAGAUGAGUGAUGGUACCUACAAGUGGCCUACUGUCAGAAGACUAAUGAGACUAUUGGGGUGCAGGAGGGCCAUCAAAAGAAGAGCUUUUUUCCACCUUUAGUGGUACCCUCAAUUCCCUCCCUGCUCUGGUCAACCUGUGAAGACUCGGGCAGAAUCUGCUUAUCUGACUCUCCUGCUGCUCCCUCUGUGCCUACCCACCAACCCCAGGAGUUAGGAAGGGAUGGACUUUCUACCUCCUUCUUCCUGUUUGAACUUCCCUCCAAGCCCAUCAAGUCUGGCUUCCACUAUGCUAAAUGUAGACAAUUUUUUUCUUAAUACAAGCUUGCCUAGUUUGCAAGAUGAUUUUCUUGCUCUAAAAUUUUAUAUUUGAAUGUCAGAAGCUGAAAAUUACCUUAUUUUCUCUUUAUAUUCCAUGUUGAGUAGUCCUCAUUUUCUCCCUAGGAAGAUAAAUGCCCUAAGUCAACUAAGGUGAAGGACCUGCACUUGAAAAGACAAAGGAGAAAAGCACAUUAAUUAUUCUCCACAUAUCAGCACUGUAACAUAUAUGUGCAAAUUAGAGAAAAUUAAUAUAUUUUUAGAUGGAAGCUAGUGUUUCACUUACUCAGGACUCCCACAGACCUUAGAAUCUAUAUAGAGCUUGGAAACUGAUUGUGUGUGUGUGUGUUACUUCAUUUACCCGAUAAACAUUUUCAAAUUAUCUAUAUGUCAGACCAUCCCAUAAAUAACACAGCUCAUUUCCUCCUUGGGUCUCAAAAAAUAUAUUAGCUGAGAAACUCCAACAAAGAGUAAAUUUCACAUAAUUGGUGCACUUGAAGAGGUAUGUAGAUGGCACCAGGAGAGCAGAGAAAGAAAAUUUAACUCCACCUGGGGCUGUUAAGGAAAUAUCUUCAGAGACUGUGACCUUGUAGAUGACUCUAAGUGGAUGAAGAAGAGGGUAUAAUAAGUUGGUGGUCAUUUUAAGCAUAGAGAGAGAAAACAGUAUGUGAAGAAGUGAUGGGGUAACAAAGGGUGUGUCCCCUUGGGGCUUCUGUAUGGCUGGAACAUAUGAUAUUUUGGGUACAGAUGGAGAUUGCUUCACUGGUGGUAGGAGAUUAGGAAGAAAAUAUGAGAGAUCAGGGCCAGACUUAAAUGGGCUUGUUCAACAUCCAAACAAGUUUAGCUUAAUUUCAGGUGAUAUUUGUGCCAUUAAACAUUUUUUUAUCAGGGUGGCAAUAUCUCACAUAAGCAUAUUUGAAUUUAAGAAGGGUCAGUGGAGGAAUUCCCGUUGUGGCACAGUGGUUAACGAAUCUGACUAGGAACCAUGAAGUUGCGGGUUCGAUCCCUGCCCUUGCUCAGUGGGUUGACGAUCCAGCGUUGCCGUGAGCUGUGGUAUAGGUUGCAGAAGUGGCUUGGAUCCCGCAUUGCCGUGGCUCUGGCGUAGGCUGGCAGCUACAGCUCCGAUUCGACCCCUAGCCUGGGAACCUCCAUAUACCACAGCAGUGGCCCAAGAAAUGGCAAAAAGACAAAAAAUAAAUAAAAAAUAAAUAAAGAAGGGUCAGUGGAGAAGAUGAAUUGGAGGAGGUGAGGCAGGAAGCAAGAAGAUGAGUUAAGGAGUGAUUCCGUUAAACUGGAUGUGGUGGUCACUGGUUAUUUUCAUCAAAUAUUUCCAGCUUUCUUUCUCCUAGACAUAUGCUAUGAUUGCACUUUUGGGCUCCCUAAGAGGUUGGGUGAGGCUAUGUGACAUGUUUUAGCUAAUGAAAUGUUAGCUGAGGUGUCAUGUGUCAUUUCUGGAUGGAAACUUUAAGAUCCAGUACACAAUUCAUUUUAUCAAAAAUGACUGCCUCCCUCAGCCUGUGUGCCUGGAUUACUAUGGUGAGCAGGGCUCCCCAUGAUGCUCCAUGAUAGGAAACGUUCCUGGUGUAAGCCACUGAGAUUUGGGGGUUGUUUAUUAUCACUCUGUGACCUAGACCAUCCCAACCACCAGGUUGGUUGGUGGCAACAGGGGCCUCAACUAAUAAUAUGGCAGAAAAAAGGGAGAGGAGUGACAGGUUCAAGAGAUAUUAAGGUGGUAGAAAUGGCAGAAUUUAGUGAGAUUGAAACUGCGGGGAGGGAGAGAGAAGAGUCUAGAAUGAUGGCCCCAUUUCGGACUGGUUGGACCUAUCCACUCACGCAUGUUCAUUUUGCUUCCUCGUUGAAUCCAAGUUCUUUGAGAAAACACUGUGUGGCUCUUUUGUAUACCAUUUGGUUGGUAUACCCGUUCUCUGCCCUGUACCUCCCCCUCCAACUCUCAGAUGGAAUUAAUUCUGUUUCAAUGACACAUGACACACAGCUUUGCUAUAAGUCAAACAUAAUUUCCAGAGCAUUUCUGUUGAUGGUCACUUUCUCCAGAAUCUCUAAGAGAAGUGACCUUCUAGAAAGCUUGUCUAACAAUUUCUUUAUUGGCUUUUUAUCAUUUUUCUCCUGUUAGCCUUGCAGGGAGACCCACCAGUCAGCCUAUUGUCCUUUCUCUUUUUAUUUUUUUUUAAAAAAACAUUUUGGUCAUAGUUUUUGCUCAAAGUAUCAAAUAGAAGGAAAAUUUAGAGUUAUUUAUAGACUUAAUUUACCUACUGUGGCCCUCUUCCAUUACCAGGGGGAAUGAAAAGUUGGCAGGAUUUUUUUUUUUUAAGCAGAAAAACAAGCAUCAAAGAGAAGAAUGCAAUUCUGCAAAAGGAGUUGAUUUUAAAUACUUUAAGAAAAUGUUAACAAAGAAAUAGUGCAGGAUCCAAUUCACUAUGUUAAGAGCACAUGGCUCUUUCAGGCAAUGUCAAACCUCCUUUCGUGGAGUCACAGGAGAAUCUGUGAUUCUCCAACGUGAGUUCUGAUGGUUCCUGUCCACACAGAAGGGAGCUAUGAUUCAGGGUGUUGUGCAGCCACUGACGAGAUGGGUCUGCGGAAACCCAUAUGCACCCAGCACCACCUCCUUAUCACCAGUGCCCUGGGGGCUGCUAUCAUUUGGGAUGGGGGCUGAGAAAAAA
ensembl:lncRNA